AGAGUUUGAUCAUGGCUCAGGACGAACGCUGGCGGCGUGCUUAACACAUGCAAGUCGAGCGGAAAGGCCACUUCGGUGGUACUCGAGCGGCGAACGGGUGAGUAACACGUGAGUAAUCUGCCCUGGACUUUGGGAUAGCCACCGGAAACGGUGAUUAAUACCGGAUACGACGACUCCACGCAUGUGGUGGUUGUGGAAAGUUUUUUCGGUUCAGGAUGUGCUCGCGGCCUAUCAGCUUGAUGGUGGGGUAAUGGCCUACCAUGGCUUCGACGGGUAGCCGGCCUGAGAGGGUGACCGGCCACACUGGGGCUGAGACACGGCCCAGACUCCUACGGGAGGCAGCAGUGGGGAAUAUUGGACAAUGGGCGGAAGCCUGAUCCAGCAACGCCGCGUGAGGGAUGACGGCCUUCGGGUUGUAAACCUCUUUCAGUACCGACGAAGCGAAAGUGACGGUAGGUACAGAAGAAGCACCGGCCAACUACGUGCCAGCAGCCGCGGUAAUACGUAGGGUGCGAGCGUUGUCCGGAAUUAUUGGGCGUAAAGGGCUCGUAGGCGGUUUGUCGCGUCGGGAGUGAAAACACUGGGCUUAACUCAGUGCUUGCUUCCGAUACGGGCAGACUAGAGGUAUGCAGGGGAGAACGGAAUUCCUGGUGUAGCGGUGAAAUGCGCAGAUAUCAGGAGGAACACCGGUGGCGAAGGCGGUUCUCUGGGCAUUACCUGACGCUGAGGAGCGAAAGUGUGGGGAGCGAACAGGAUUAGAUACCCUGGUAGUCCACACCGUAAACGUUGGGCGCUAGGUGUGGGAUCCAUUCCACGGGUUCCGUGCCGCAGCUAACGCAUUAAGCGCCCCGCCUGGGGAGUACGGCCGCAAGGCUAAAACUCAAAGGAAUUGACGG
rnacentral:rRNA from 1 species